UGUGAUUGGAAUGGCCGCAGCAGUCGGGACGCACGCACAUACACUUGGACAAAAAACUGAGAAGGUGAACGGAGAAGUGCCGAGGAAUGCUGGAAGGAAUACGUCCCAGUAAAUCUGCCCCCUCCACAAGAAUCAUGGGACACAGAUGGACCUGGUUACACUUACAAUCCAGACAGAGUGUCUAGAGAAAAGCCCGUGAUUCGAGUAAUGACUGGAGGAACAAAAUCUGAAAGGAAAGCGUUCCGCCAACGAGAAUGCCGACGACUUCAAAACCUAAACAAUGGGCUGCCACUCAACGAAAGGCAUUCAGCAUGACUCUCUCAUUCAUUCCUGCAUCCAUUCCUUUGAAUUUCUUGGCAUUGAUACACAUGAAAAAGUCCAGUAAUGUAGCACUAUUUUUAUUGCUUCAGUGAGAUAAUAUGUUAAAAUAUUAAUUCAGGAAGAGUGAACAGUAUUUAUUCUGAUCAGAAGCUCAUAUACAUGAUAAGAAGGAAAUAAUAAGGAUAAGAAGAAAAUGAAUGAUUUGAUGAUUUCAAUUUAUGGGUGAAUACCAGUUUUGGAGUACAUAUUCCUCAGAUAGACUGAAUGAUGUGAAUCAAUGAUUAUUUACAUGAAAAAUUUAAAGAACAUCUGUAUAUAUAUUGACCUAUAUUUCAAUCCAGAGAGUCAAUGGUAUGGAGGUUUGCUAUGACACAGAUUUUUAUGAGAAAUUUGUACUGUACAUAUUCAGUUGACUUUCAUGUGAGACUUGAGAUUUUUGUAUAUUAAUGUUACAUUUCAUAGAAAUAUUAGGCAUUAUUAGUCAGAAUUGUCAGUCUGAACUGUUUUGAGGUGUUUUUCAUAGUGCUAAUUUUGGUAAUACUGGUCAGUUUCAUGUUUAAAAAUGCCUUUUUUUAAAGCAAUAUAUGAAGUAGGUGUUACAAUUUUUUAAAAUUUUAUACAAGAAGAGUUUAUAUUUGUUUGCUGCAUAUUACAUAUUAUAGGAAAUAAGUAAAUAUAAAAGUAUGGGUUUUGUGUUAAGUAGAUAAAAUAUAUUAUCUGCUUACUGCUGAAAUUUAUCUGUUUUACUCAUAUAUUGUUUGCAGACCAAAAAUGUAAAUAAUAUUCUGUCUCCUAAAUAGUUAGUAGACUCUGAAGUAUUUAUUCAGUAUAUGUAGUUGUCUUCUGGAGUCAGAUAUUUAUAAUUCAGCUUUUGAGGAAUUUUAUAGGUAAAUUUAUGUUUGUUGUAUAAUUAUUAUAGGAGGGUCAAAGUUUCAUUUUUGUAACAAUUUUUCCAUAAUCAGGAAUCCAUGUAGUGAUGUUGCUCUUGCUGACUUGCAAGUUUGUAGCACUGAACUGUUUACAGAUGUCACAAAUUUUGAGUAUGUUAUUUUGAUUCUCAUCAAAUAUUAAAGCUCAGUAUUCUCAGAAGCUGGAAAAAUGUAAUGAAAGGAACAUUUAUAGUUUUUACAAUGUACUCAGAAUUGUAAUUUCUGUUGAUAAUUUACAAAUACAAAUGGAUUCAUAUUUCUGAUUUCCAUGCACAAUCUCAUUCAGUAUUAAAAUGGAGUGUGGUAGCUACAAAUUUAAAUGUAAGAUUUAUAAAUAUAUUUGCAAUUCUCAUUAUGUUUAGUUUUAAUAAUUUUGUAAAAAGAUCAUUUGUAGCACACUUGCACCAUGUGGCACUGCUAAGCAUUGAAGUUCUUCCAAUGCUUUUAUUACACAGCUUCCUUCGUCUCAGAAUAAGGUCAAAACAAUGCACUUCUGGACAUUGCUUUAUCAAGAAAAAUGUUUAAUUUCAUCCCUUCUAUUAUAUCAAAGAACUAGGAAUAGUUAUGUGUUAUCCUGUUUAAUGUUCUAUUACAAUCAAAAUCAUUUGGAAUGUAGUAAAACUAAAAAUAGCCAUAAACCAUGUCUCCAGUUUCAUUCUGCAGCUUUGAAAGAAUCAACACAUCAGUCAGAUGAAUCUUGAAUGAGUGUACAAAGGUUAAAUGUAUCAAGAAAGAAUGGAGGAGACUGAAAGAAUAAAUAAACUCAUUAUUAAUCUA